rnacentral:rRNA from 1 species
UACAGAGGUCUCAAGCGUUGUUCGGAUUCAUUGGGCGUAAAGGGCUCGUAGGCGGCCAACUAAGUCAGACGUGAAAUCCCUCGGCUUAACCGGGGAACUGCAUCUGAUACUGGAUGGCUUGAGUUCGGGAGAGGGAUGUGGAGUUCCAGGUGUAGCGGUGAAAUGCGUAGAUAUCUGGAGGAACACCGGUGGCGAAGGCGGCAUCCUGGACCGACACUGACGCUGAGGAGCGAAAGCCAGGGGAGCAAACGGG